GCAUCCAGCCCCCAGCUCACCCCCACCCCUUCCAGCCCCCACUCCCCUUAGGAACCCAAGGUUCCGGCCCUCCUACAAAUCCCAGCCACCCCUCCCCCAUCAGUUUCUCCCCUCCAGGGGAUGGAGGCCGAGAGACCCCAGGAAGAAGAUGGUGAGCAGGGCCCCCCUCAGGAUGAACAAGGCUGGCCCCCUCUGAACUCCACCACUCGGCCUUGGCGAUCUGCUCCUCUGUCCCCUCCUCCUCCAGGGACCCGCCACACAGCCCUGGGGCCUUGCUCUGCCUCCCUGCUUUCCAUGCAAACUGAGCUCCUUCUGGACCUGGUGGCUAAGGCCCAGUCCCUCUGCCUGGAGGAGCAGAGGGCAACCUUCCACACCCCUCAAAACCCCCCAGGCCUAGCCCCUGCCCCACCCCGGCCUCUCGAGGACAAAGAACAGUUCUACAGCACCAUCCUCAGUCACCAGUGCCAGUGGAUGGAAGCCCAGCGGUCAGAGCCUCCUCUCCCCCUAGGGGGGCAGGAGCUCCUGGAAUUGCUGCUGAGAGUUCAGGGUGGGGGUCGAAUGGAGGAGCAAAGGUCCCGGCCCCCCCCACACACACACACCUGCUGAGACACACACACUGCUGAGAUUUAAGCUCCCAACCAGUCCCUCCUCCACCCUGGGACUCAAAGCUGGGCAUGCCCUCAACUCUUGCUUGGCAGGGGCACCAAAGACUGGAAGAUCCAGCAGAAAUCUCAAUAUUCAUUGCCCUCAUCACUUUCCCUGGGAAAGCUGGGAU